UGAUUGUCCAAACGCAAUUCUUGUGUUUUCUUAACUAAACAAGAGCUGUGCUGGGCAUCACA
rnacentral:pre_miRNA from 1 species